rnacentral:tRNA from 1 species
AGCUUCUAUAUUUUAUACAAAAUACUGAUCUUGUAAAUCAGAGAAUGACUAUCAUUGAAGUUU